rnacentral:rRNA from 14 species
UAAGGUCCGUCGUCAAAAGGGAAACAGCCCUAACCUACAGCUAAGGUCCCCAAGUAAUACCUAAGUGCGAAAGCAUGUGGGAAUCCCAAAACAACCAGGAGGUUGGCUUAGAAGCAGCCACCCUUUAAAGAAAGCGUAAUAGCUCACUAGUCGAGUCGGCCUGCGCGGAAGAUGUAACGGGGCUAAAUUGGUAACCGAAGCUGCGGAUGCAUAGUUCCUUCGGGUUCUAUGCAUGGUAGAGGAGCGUUGUGUAAGCCUGCGAAGGUGGAUCGAGAGGUCUGCUGGAGGUAUCACAAGUGCGAAUGCUGACAUGAGUAACGAUAAGAGGGGUGAAAAACCCCUCCGCCGGAAGAUCAAGGUUUCCUGUCCAACGCUAAUCGGGACAGGGUGAGACGGCCCCUAAGGCGAGGCGGAGACGCGUAGUCGAUGGGAAGCAGGUUAAUAUUCCUGCGCCGCUCUUUACUGCGAUGGGGGGACGGAGAAGGCUAGGCCAGCGUGGCGAUGGUUGUCCACGUGAGAGACUGUAGGCUGGUUGCUUAGGAAAAUCCGGGCGACUAAGGCUGAGGGUCAGGACGAGCACAAAGGGAGACCUGCGUGUGGAGUGGUUGAUGCCCUGCUUCCAGGAAAAGCCUCUAAGCUUCAGGUAGAGAGUGACCGUACUGUAAACCGACACAGGUGAUCAGGUAGAGAAUACCAAGGCGCUUGAGAGAACUCGGGUGAAGGAACUAGGCAAAAUGGUACCGUAACUUCGGGAGAAGGUACGCCGCUGACGGUGAAGGGCUUGCCCCGUAAGCUGUUGGUGGUCGAAGUGACCAGGUGGCUGCGACUGUUUACUAAAAACAUAGCACUCUGCAAACACGUAAGUGGACGUAUAGGGUGUGACGCCUGCCCGGUGCCGGAAGGUUAAAUGAUGGGGUUAGACUUGUUCGAAGCUCUUGAUUGAAGCCCCGGUAAACGGCGGCCGUAACAAUAACGGUCCUAAGGUAGCG